rnacentral:rRNA from 1 species
GACGAACGCUGGCGGCGUGCCUAACACAUGCAAGUCGAACGAGAUCCAUGGGAGCUUGCUCCCGGAAGAUCUAGUGGCGAACGGGUGAGUAACACGUGAGAAACCUGCCCUGGAGUGGGGAAUAACUCGGGGAAGCUCGAGCUAAUACCGCAUACCCUCGGAUGGUCGCAUGGCCGACCGAGGAAAGAUUUAUCGCUCUAGGAGGGUCUCGCGGCCUAUCAGCUAGUUGGUGGGGUAACGGCCUACCAAGGCAACGACGGGUAGCUGGUUUGAGAGAACGAUCAGCCACACUGGGACUGAGACACGGCCCAGACUCCUACGGGAGGCAGCAGUGGGGAAUCUUGCGCAAUGGGCGAAAGCCUGACGCAGCAACGCCGCGUGCGGGAUGACGGCC